CAUGGAGGGUGAGAAUCCCGUUCAUGGUUAAUCUUAAGGAAGCUCUACGAUACGUUUUCCAAGAGUCGAGUUGUUUGGGAUUGCAGCUCAAAAUGGGAGGUAAAUUUCUCCUAAGGCUAAAUACAGGCGAGAGACCGAUAGCGAACAAGUACCGUGAGGGAAAGAUGAAAAGAAUUUUGAAAAGAAAGUUAAACAGUACGUGAAAUUGUUGAAAGGGAAACGAUUGAAGCCAGUCGUACCGACGGGAAAUCAACUUCUCGAGUGCUUACCGUGGGUGACGUUGAGCUUUACGGCCUUCGUUGCUUGUGUUGUUGGUGCUUUUGGGGUGUACUUUUCCGUAUGGUAGGUCAUCAUCGAUUUUGAUCGUCAUAAAAUGAUCGGGGGAAUGUAGCUUCGGUCUCGUAUCGGAGUGUUAUAGACCUUGGUAGAUGUGACGGUUGGGAUCGAGGAUUGCAACGAAUACCCUUUUGGGCUAUCCGUCUGUCCUCUGAAAGUCGCUCGGGGGUCGAAAGCGUGCUUAUGAUCAUUCGAGUUGGCGGUCAAUAGGUUAGAACGUGAUUAUAUUCGUUAAGGAUGUUGACGUAAUGG
rnacentral:rRNA from 1 species